rnacentral:rRNA from 1 species
AUUGAACGCUGGCGGCAUGCCUUACACAUGCAAGUCGAACGGUAACAGGUCUUCGGAUGCUGACGAGUGGCGAACGGGUGAGUAAUAUAUCGGAACGUGCCCAGUCGUGGGGGAUAACGUAGGGAAACUUACGCUAAUACCGCAUGCGCCCUUCGGGGGAAAGCCGGGGACCUUCGGGCCUGGCGCGAUUGGAUGAGCCCAUGUCGGAUUAGCUAGUUGGCGGGGUAAUGGCCCACCAAGGCGACGAUCCGUAGCUGGUCUGAGAGGAUGAUCAGCCACACUGGAACUGAGACACGGUCCAGACUCCUACGGGAGGCAGCAGUAGGGAAUAUUGGACAAUGGGCGCAAGCCUGAUCCAGCCAUGCCGCGUGCACGAUGAAGGCCUUCGGGUUGUAAAGUGCUUUUUGAGGGGAUGAGGAAGGACAGUACCCUCAGAAUAAGUCUCGGCCAACUACGUG